GGCCAGCAGCCGCGGUAAUACGUAGGUGGCGAGCGUUGUCCGGAAUUAUUGGGCGUAAAGGGCGCGUAGGCGGUCAUUUAAGUCAGAUGUGAAAAUCCAAGGCUCAACCUUGGGCUUGCAUCUGAUACUGGGUGACUAGAGUGCAGGAGAGGAAAGUGGAAUUCCAUGUGUAGCGGUGAAAUGCGUAGAUAUAUGGAGGAACACCAGUGGCGAAGGCGGCUUUCUGGACUGUAACUGACGCUGAGGCGCGAAAGCUGGGGGAGUGAACGGGAUUAGAUACCCCGGUAAUCCCAGCCGUAAACGAUGGAUGCUAGGUGUAGGAGGUAUCGACCCCUUCUGUGCCGCAGUCAACACAAUAAGCAUCCCGCCUGGGGAGUACGGCCGCAAGGUUGAAACUUAAAGGAAUUGGCGGGGGA
rnacentral:rRNA from 1 species